rnacentral:rRNA from 1 species
CCUACGUGGGGCAGCAGUGGGGAAUAUUGGGCAAUGGGCGCAAGCCUGACCCAGCAACGCCGCGUGAAGGAAGAAGGCUUUCGGGUUGUAAACUUCUUUUCUGAGGGACGAAGAAAGUGACGGUACCUCAGGAAUAAGCCACGGCUAACUACGUGCCAGCAGCCGCGGUAAUACGUAGGUGGCAAGCGUUAUCCGGAUUUAUUGGGUGUAAAGGGCGUGUAGGCGGGAAAGCAAGUCAGAUGUGAAAACUCAGGGCUCAACCCUGAGCCUGCAUUUGAAACUGUUUUUCUUGAGUGCUGGAGAGGCAAUCGGAAUUCCGUGUGUAGCGGUGAAAUGCGUAGAUAUACGGAGGAACACUCGUGGCGAAGGCGGGUUCCUGGACAUUAACUGACGCUGAGGCACGAAGGCCAGGGGAGCGAAAGGGAUUAGAUACCCUUGUAGUC